GACGUAGGGGGCCAGCGUUGCUCGGAAUUACUGGGUGUAAAGGGUUCGUAGGCGGUGUGGCAAGUCGGGAGUGAAAUCUCUGGGCUCAACCCAGAGUCUGCUUCCGAAACUGCUGUGCUUGAGUGUGGGAGAGGCGCGUGGAAUUGCAGGUGUAGCGGUGAAAUGCGUAGAUAUCUGCAGGAACACCAGAUGCGAAGGCGGGUCACUGGGCUGAUACUGACGCUGAAGUGCGAAAGCCAGGGGAGCGAACGGG
rnacentral:rRNA from 1 species